rnacentral:rRNA from 1 species
GGGGGGGGCAAGCGUUGUUCGGAAUUACUGGGCGUAAAGGGCCAGUAGGCGGCCAACUAAGUCCGACGUGAAAUCCCAAGGCUUAACCUUGGAACUGCGUCGGAUACUGGAUGGCUUGAAUUCGGGAGAGGGAUGCAGAAUUCCAGGUGUAGCGGUGUAAUGCGUAGAUAUCUGGAGGAAUACCGGUGGCGAAGGCGGCAUCCUGGACCGACAUUGACGCUGAACGGCGAAAGCUAGGGGAGCAAACGGGAUUAGAUACCCCGGUAGUCCUAGCCCUAAACGAUGAAUGUUUGGUGUGGCGGGUAUCGAUCCCUGCCGUGCCGAAGCUAACGCAUUAAACAUUCCGCCUGGGGAGUACGGUCGCAAGGCUG